GACGUAGGGGGCCAGCGUUGUUCGGAAUUACUGGGUGUAAAGGGUUCGUAGGCGGUGCGGCAAGUCGGGAGUGAAAUCUCUGGGCUCAACCCAGAGGCUGCUUCCGAAACUGCUGUGCUUGAGGACUGGAGAGGAGACUGGAAUUUACGGUGUAGCGGUGAAAUGCGUAGAUAUCGUAAGGAAGACCAGUGGCGAAGGCGGGUCUCUGGGACGGUACUGACGCUGAGACGCGAAAGCGUGGGGAGCGAACAGG
rnacentral:rRNA from 1 species